AACGAACGCUGGCGGCAUGCCUAACACAUGCAAGUCGAACGAGACCUUCGGGUCUAGUGGCGCACGGGUGCGUAACGCGUGGGAACCUGCCCUUAGGCUCGGAAUAACUCCCCGAAAGGGGUGCUAAUACCGGAUAAUGUCUUCGGACCAAAGAUUUAUCGCCUUUGGAUGGGCCCGCGUUGGAUUAGCUAGUUGGUAGGGUAAAAGCCUACCAAGGCGACGAUCCAUAGCUGGUCUGAGAGGAUGAUCAGCCACACUGGGACUGAGACACGGCCCAGACUCCUACGGGAGGCAGCAGUGGGGAAUAUUGGACAAUGGGCGAGAGCCUGAUCCAGCAAUGCCGCGUGAGUGAUGAAGGCCUUAGGGUUGUAAAGCUCUUUUACCCGGGAUGAUAAUGACAGUACCGGGAGAAUAAGCUCCGGCUAACUCCGUG
rnacentral:rRNA from 1 species